AUAGCAAAGACAUGGCAGGGAAAGGGAAGCGACAUGAUGUAGUCAUGACUAUUUGUUGCGUUUUGACGGAUUUAAGAUUCUAAUUUCAAAUCGUUACUUCUGCUGAAUAAGUAGAUAAACACAUUAGAAACGGGUAGUCUAUAUCUAGCUGCUUUUAGCAACGCUAGUAUUUCUACACUAGUGAUGCUAGGAAUUAUCUUGCAAAAAAACGCUAUCGUUUCCGGUCACAACUUGUAGACUUGUUUACGUGCGGUUUGUUUUUGAUGUUUCUUUGCUACCUGCCAACUUUAUGGCUUUUACUUUUUAAUUACCGUCUUGUAUUUUUACCUCGUUUUUUCAUUAAACUUUUUCACCCUGGACGCUUUAUCUGGACAUGGUUCUACAGGACCUCCACCAGCCGAAGCUAAGUAAAGGAUGAAACAUCGUCUGUACCACCAAUAAGUAUAGAUAACAGGACCUGAGCCCUAGGACCAUGCCUCAGGACUACCUGGCCUUUUGACUCCUUGCUGUCCCCAGUUCACCUGGUCAUUCUGCUGCUCCAGUUUCAACUGUUCUGCCUAUGGCUAUGGAACCCUGACCUGUUCACUGGACGUGCUACCUUGUCCCGAACUCUCUACCGCACCUGCUGUCUCGAACUCUGAAUGCUCUGCUAUGAAAAGCCAACUGACAUUUACUCCCGAGGUGCUGACCUGUUGCACCCUCUACAACCAUUGUGAUUAUUAUUAUUAUCUGACCCUGCUGGUCAUCUAUUAACAUCUUGGCCAUGUUCUGUUAUAAUCUCCACCUGGCACAGCCAGAAGAAGACUGGCCACCCCUCAGAGCCUGGUUCCUCUAGGUUUCUUCCAAGGUUCUGGCCUUUCUAGGGAGUUUUUCCGAGCCACCGUACUUCUACAUUUGCAUUGCUUGCUGUUUGGGGUUUUAGGCUGGGUUUCUGUACAGCACUUUGUGACAUCGGCUGAUGUAAAAAGGGCUUUAUAAAUACAUUUGAUUCAUAGUCCGCUGGAAGCCAGAGGUUAAAUAAAAUGAUAUUUAAACGUACCCUGCCGAUUGUCCUUAAGGUUAAACCUUAUACUGGGGGAAAUUGAGAAAAAACAUCUAAUUGAACAAAUUAAACAUACUUUCCAAAAGUGGGUCUGUUGUAGACCCACUUCCUCUGCGCUUACUUCAUGUCAAAAUAAAAGUCCUGCACGUGUGACAUACAUGCACACAAAAAAAGCAAGAUCUUGUUGGGGAUUUUUAUUUUGACAUGUAAGCAGAGAGAAACUGACCUCGCUGAGGAACUGCAUGGGUCUGUAACAGACCCACAUUUGGAAAUGCUGGUUAAUUAAACGUUCCAAUAUAUGUAUUUUUUCUCUAACAAAUUCACCCCCUGCAUAAGGACCAAGCCUACAGACAUUCGACAGAGUAAAUUGAAAUGAAUUGUAUUUAUCUUCUGGCGGACCAGUCAGGUUUUUUGCAAGCUAAUUCCCAGCAACGCUAGUGUGUAAAUACUAGCGUUGCUAAAAGCAGCUAGUCUAUACCUAAAUAUGUGAAAGGAAAUGGCAUCGCUUAUGAAUAAACAAUCAGCUCUACA